rnacentral:misc_RNA from 1 species
GAUGAAGAACGCAGCGAAAUGCGAAAAGUAAUGUGAAUUGCAGAAUUCAGUGAAUCAUCGAAUCUUUGAACGCACAUUGCGCCCGCCAGUAUUCUGGCGGGCAUGCCUGUCUGAGCGUCAUUUCAACCCUCAUGCCCCUUGGGCGUGGUGUUGGGGAUCGGCCAGCGCCCGCGAGGGACGGCCGGCCCCUAAAUCUAGUGGCGGACCCGUCGUGGCCUCCCCUGCGAAGUAGUGAUAUUCCGCAUAGGAGAGCGACGAGCCCCUGCCGUUAAACCCCCAACUUUCUAAGGUUGACCUCAGAUCAGGUAGGAAUACCCGCUGAACUUAAGCAUAUCAAUAAGCGGAGGA